UACGUAGGGUGCAAGCGUUAAUCGGAAUUACUGGGCGUAAAGCGUGCGCAGGCGGUUGUGCAAGACAGAUGUGAAAUCCCCGGGCUUAACCUGGGAACUGCAUUUGUGACUGCAUGGCUAGAGUGCGGCAGAGGGGGAUGGAAUUCCGCGUGUAGCAGUGAAAUGCGUAGAUAUGCGGAGGAACACCGAUGGCGAAGGCAAUCCCCUGGGCCUGCACUGACGCUCAUGCACGAAAGCGUGGGGAGCAAACAGG
rnacentral:rRNA from 1 species